CUCUUUCUUACUCAAUUUUCCUUCCCAUUUUCCGACUUUCCAAACACUAUUUGCAACAACCAUUCUCAGUUUCCCAAACGGGGAAAGAAAGGAGAUAAUGGACUCCAGAGAACAGCAGCCACCACUGCCAUCGCAAAUACCACCGCAUCCACAACAACAUCAACAACACCACCAGACGCAACCAAACAUGUUACUUGGUGGUCCUCCCUCUUCCUACUCCAACAGCACCGCUGCUGGUCAUCCCGCUAUGGGUAUGAUCAACCCGAACAUCCCUCCCACUGCUGCAGCUGGUUUCCCCUUUAAUUCAGUUGGCCCGCCUCCCCCACGGUCCAAGUCGCCUUCUUCCGAUGGUAGUUUUGAUGGAUCGUCACCUCCUUCUUCCACAGGGAUGAGGUUUAGUAUGGAGCCAGCGAAGAAGAAGAGGGGGAGGCCCAGAAAGUACACCCCAGAUGGCAACAUUGCCUUGGGGUUGUCGCCAACCCCGAUUCCAUCUCCGCCGAACUCGUUGGUCCAUGCUGAUCCUGGAGGUGGCACCCCUGGCGUGGCCUCUGAGCCUCCUUCUAAGCGGAAUAGAGGGAGACCGCCAGGGUCAGGCAAGAGGCAACUUGAUGCAUUAGGAGGGGUUGGAGGAGUUGGAUUUACACCUCAUGUGAUUACAGUGAAAGCAGGGGAGGACAUAGCAUCAAAGAUUAUGGCUUUCUCACAGCAAGGGCCACGAACAGUUUGUAUUCUGUCUGCGAAUGGUGCUAUUUGUAAUGUUACGCUUCGUCAGCCAGCAAUGUCUGGUGGUACUGUGACAUAUGAGGGCCGUUUUGAGAUUAUUUCUCUAUCAGGUUCCUUCUUGCUUUCUGAAAAUAAUGGUAGUCGCAAUCAAACUGGUGGCUUGAGUGUUUCAUUAGCAGGUUCAGAUGGUAGAGUUUUGGGUGGAGGAGUUGCUGGAAUGCUAAUGGCAGCAUCACCAGUGCAGGUCAUUGUCGGCAGUUUUGUUGCUGAUGGGAAAAAAUCAAACUCGACGAUAUCAAAAUCUGGGCCUUCAUUGGCACCAACAACCCAAACGUUGAAUUUUGGUGCGCCAUUGACAACAUCCAGCCCUCCUUCUCAAGGCCCCUCUAGCGAGUCUUCUGACGGAAAUGGUAGUAGUCCUCUUAACCGAGAUCCCGGAAUCUAUAGCAAUGCAACUCAACCCAUUCACAGUAUGAAUAUGUACCAACUAUGGGCUGCCCCAAAUCCGCACUGAAGAUGCUUCUCAAUUAACAAUUUGGAGUUUU
rnacentral:misc_RNA from 1 species